GGCCGCGUGGCUCAGUUGGUAGUAGCGCAAGACUGUUAAUCUUGAGGCCAAGGGUUCGAUCCCCUUCGUAGCAA
rfam:Sphaeroforma arctica JP610 cont1.7441, whole genome shotgun sequence.